rnacentral:rRNA from 1 species
CAGCAGCCGCGGUAAUACCGGCGGCCCGAGUGGCGGUCACUAUUAUUGGGCUUAAAACGUCCGUAGCCGGGUUGGGAAGGCCUCCGGGAAAUCUGGCCGCUUAACGGUCAGAAUGCCGGAGGAUACUCCCAGCCUAGGGAGCGGGAGAGGCCGAGGGUAUUCCCGGAGUAGGGGUGAAAUCCUAUAAUCCCGGGAGGACCACCUGUGGCGAAGGCGCUCGGCUGGAACGCGUCCGACGGUGAGGGACGAAGGCCAGGGGAGCAAACCGGAUUAGAUACCCGGGUAGUCCUGGCUGUAAACGAUGCGGACUUUGUGUCGGACAAGCUAUGAGCUUGUCCGGUGCCGGAGGGAAACCGUUAAGUCCGCCGCCUGGGGAGUACGGCCGCAAGGCUGAAACUUAAAGGAAUUGGCGGG